AUACGUAGGGUGCGAGCGUUGUCCGGAAUUACUGGGCGUAAAGAGCUCGUAGGUGGUUUGUCGCGUCGUCUGUGAAAUUCCGGGGCUUAACUCCGGGCGUGCAGGCGAUACGGGCAUAACUUGAGUACUGUAGGGGAGACUGGAAUUCCUGGUGUAGCGGUGAAAUGCGCAGAUAUCAGGAGGAACACCGGUGGCGAAGGCGGGUCUCUGGGCAGUAACUGACGCUGAGGAGCGAAAGCAUGGGUAGCGAACAGGAUUUGAUACCCUGGUAGUCCAUGCCGUAAACGGUGGGCGCUAGGUGUAGGGGUCUUCCACGACUUCUGUGCCGUAGCUAACGCAUUAAGCGCCCCGCCUGGGGAGUACGGCCGCAAGGCUAAAACUCAAAUGAAUUGACGGGG
rnacentral:rRNA from 1 species